rnacentral:rRNA from 1 species
AGCGAACGCUGGCGGCAGGCUUAACACAUGCAAGUCGAACGGGCUUCUUCGGACGUCAGUGGCAGACGGGUGAGUAACACGUGGGAACGUGCCCUUCGGUUCGGAAUAACUCAGGGAAACUUGAGCUAAUACCGGAUACGCCCUUUUGGGGAAAGGUUGACUGCCGAAGGAUCGGCCCGCGUCUGAUUAGCUUGUUGGUGGGGUAACGGCCUACCAAGGCGACGAUCAGUAGCUGGUCUGAGAGGAUGAUCAGCCACACUGGGACUGAGACACGGCCCAGACUCCUACGGGAGGCAGCAGUGGGGAAUAUUGGACAAUGGGCGCAAGCCUGAUCCAGCCAUGCCGCGUGAGUGAUGAAGGCCUUAGGGUUGUAAAGCUCUUUUGUCCGGGACGAUAAUGACGGUACCGGAAGAAUAAGCCCCGGCUAACUUCGUG